rnacentral:lncRNA from 1 species
UCUCAGGGUAACAGUCUGCUCUAUCAAACCCUCAGCUAUACACUAUUCAUAUCAGUGCAAUGUGCAAUUCUUCAAGUGAUAUUUUUUUUCAACAUUAUGUAAUAUAUGGCAGAUAGUAAGUAGUGAAUCUGUUUUUGAAUAAAUGUGUAACAAGGCAUCUGUUUGUGUGAAUGUAUUUAUGAUGAAAUGAGUGGUUGUAUGAUAGUGAA